CCCUCCCCCCCCCUUCCAUAUUGCUGUUUCUGUUGGAUUUGAAAGCGAGGCCAGGAGGAGCUUCCUGCCUUGUUCCGGAGCAUUUAAGAUGUGCACAGGGUGCAAGGACGGCGUGUGCCCCUCGGCUGGGUGAGGUGCUGGGCUCUGCCCCGGACCCCCAGCAGCCCUGUUCCCCCCAGGAGCUCCGUGCCAUGGCCACGGCUGUGUCCUCCCCAACAGACAGCACCCCAGCACCUUUCCAGCUCCCUCCCAGAAGCGGAGCCAGCAGUGUUUGCCUGGAUUAAAAUAGCACACAGAUUUACUGUGCUUUUGUUUUUAAACGCUUGACUGCAUUAGCAUUGAUUUAUUUUUAAUACAACCAACCACCUGCAAUUUGACUGUUACUUUUGUUCAUUCUUUUCGGUGACUGUAAUUGCAGCGUGGUUCUUCAGCAGCCCCCAGCCCCGACACCCCGGGCAGCGCCAGGUAUUGGUGGCAGGGAGCAGUGGGCAUCUGCGACACGCUGCUCCGUCCCCAGUGCCACUGAGCAGCUCCUUUAUUCAUUGCUCACAUGGCUGCACGCGUCAUACGGGCUAAGGAGAAGGAAAAAGUGUUUUCUUUUCUUUUUGAUCUGAACAGGCCCUCAUCAUCCUCUGCGAGGAGCACCGUGGACACUUGUUUCCUGCCUGCAGGGCUGGGAAGACAGCAGCGAGGCUCGAGGACACCGGUGAGGACGGCAGACCCCCAGGGCUCCCAACGGCGCCUCGAAUGCUCGCUCCUGAACCGCUCUCACCGAUGUUCCGAAUCACCUUGCGCAUACAGUGAAACUACAGGCAGGAGCUCGCUAAGCAACAUCUUUCCUCUAAUACAGACAAAUGAGUUUGCUUCCCCCUGCUGUCAGCUGAAGACAGCGUUUUGGUUUUGA
rnacentral:lncRNA from 1 species